rnacentral:rRNA from 1 species
AAACAACGGAUCUCUUGGCUCUCGCAUCGAUGAAGAACGCAGCGAAAUGCGAUAAGUAAUGUGAAUUGCAGAUUUUCAGUGAAUCAUCGAAUCUUUGAACGCACCUUGCGCUCCUUGGUAUUCCGAGGAGCAUGCCUGUUUGAGUGUCAUUAAAUUCUCAACCCCGAAUCGGAUUUGUUUCUGAUUCGGAGGCUUGGAUUGUGGAGCGUGCUGGCCCCUACCCGGGUCGGCUCCUCUCAAAUGCAUUCGCGGAAUCGACUUUGGUCCGUUUCGGUCAUCAGUGUGAUAAUACGUUGCGCUGUUGGCUAGGAUCGAGGUGCCGCAUACAAUGGUCUUCGGACAAUUUUAUAUCAAUUUGACCUCAAAUCAGGUAGGACUACCCGCUGAACUUAAGCAUAUCAAUAAGCGGAGGAAAAGAAACUAACAAGGAUUCCCCUAGUGACUGCGAGUGAAGCGGGAAAAGCUCAAAUUUAAAAUCUGGCUGCCUCUGGUGGUCCGAGUUGUAAUCUGGAGAAGCGUCUUCCGCGC